AUUGAACGCUGGCGGCAGGCCUAACACAUGCAAGUCGAGCGGAUGAAGGGAGCUUGCUCCUGGAUUCAGCGGCGGACGGGUGAGUAAUGCCUAGGAAUCUGCCUGGUAGUGGGGGAUAACGUCCGGAAACGGGCGCUAAUACCGCAUACGUCCUGAGGGAGAAAGUGGGGGAUCUUCGGACCUCGCGCUAUCAGAUGAGCCAAGGUCGGAUUAGCUAGUUGGUGGGGUAAAGGCCUACCAAGGCGACGAUCCGUAACUGGUCUGAGAGGAUGAUCAGUCACACUGGAACUGAGACACGGUCCAGACUCCUACGGGAGGCAGCAGUGGGGAAUAUUGGACAAAGGGCGAAAGCCUGAUCCAGCCAUGCCGCGUGUGUGAAGAAGGUCUUCGGAUUGUAAAGCACUUUAAGUUGGGAGGAAGGGCAGUAAGUUAAUACCUUGCUGUUUUGACGUUACCAACAGAAUAAGCACCGGCUAACUUCGUG
rnacentral:rRNA from 1 species